UCAGGUUAAUAUCUUCCUUCCAACUUCAUGGAGUCAACAACUGAUUCAAGAGGAUUGGCAUAGUGUCGAUGAGACUUACUCUGGAAAAAACAAUCUGCCAUGUUGUGAGCUGCACUAUGGAGAGGACCAUGUGGCCAGGAACUGACAUCUCUGACCAACAGCCAGUGAUGACCCGGGGCAUGCCAACAGCCAUCUGAGUGAACCUGGAAGUGCACCUUCUGAGUCUUCCCACAUAGACUGAACUUGAAAGUGUAUCCUUCCUCAGUUGAGCCUUGAGUUGACCAUAGCUCUUGCCAAUACUUUUGACUGACUGCAGCCUUGUAAGACACCUUGAGUCAAGGGCACCCAGCGAAGCUGUGCAUGAAUUCCUAACCCACAGAAACUUUGAGAUAAUAAAUGUUUAUUGUUUUGAACUGCUAAGUUUUGGGGGUAAUUAGAAACAGCAAUAGGUAACUAAUACACUUGAUCUCAUUGUUUAUUCUCAAAUGUAUAUAUAUUUCUCCUUAGAGAAAACAUUUUAAGAAAUGGUAGAUGUAACAACUAAUGUGAACAGUAUGGCAGUUCCUCAAAAAAUUAAACAUAGAAUUACCAUGUGACCCAACAGUUUCCUUCUAGAUCUAUACCCAAAAAAUUGAAAACAGAGACUCAAACAGAUAUGUGUACACCUAUCUUCAUAGCAGCAUUAUUCACAAUAACCAAAAGGUAGAAACCACAAAAGUUCCCACUGACAGAUGAGUGAACAAACAAAAUGGGAUGUAUACAUACAAUGGAUUAUUAUUCAGCCUUAAAAAGGAAGAAAAUUUUGCCAUAUGCUAUAAUAUAGAUGAAACUUGAAGACAUUAUGCUAAGUGAAAUAAUCAUACAAAUACUGUAUAAUGCUAUUUACAUGAGAUUCCAGAAGUAGUCGAAUUCAUAGAGGCAGAAAGUAGAAUGAUGACUGAUAGGGGCUGGGAGGGAGGAGAGAAUGGGGAGUCAUUGUUUAAUAGGUAUGGAGUUUCAGUUUGAGAAGAUGAAAAGAACUCUGGAGAUGGAUUGCAGGGAUGAUUGCACAACAAUGCUAAUGUAUUUAAUGUCACUGAACUGUACACUUGAAAAUAAUUAAAGUGGUGAAUUUU